UAAGCCAAGUGGGGCGAACCGGUGUUUUUUCAAAAGGGGAGCCACCCCGUAGCUUGCUUGUGUCACCCUCCUAGGGCUGGGGACUUGAAACCUAGCGUGGUUUACCGCCUUGGGUUAUUUUGUUUUAUUUUUGGAGUUAAAUUUUAACUACGCAUGGAAGUGGCUGUGAACGAGAGAUCCUGCAGCUAAGUGCUUCCCACUGGCACAAAUCUUGGGUCAUUGAUGUGCUCUGACUUGUGAUGUCACUGAGAAUUAAACCUGGAACUAUGGAGCUUCUGGGAUUUAUAUACAACAAGAAGCUAGUCUGGAAGAAGACAAGAAGGUACAGACAAGAUCUUGGAAGACCAGUGUUGAAGAUGGCAGAGGCACAAGUUAGAUGCAACAUGGGUUCCUCAGUCACUGCUGGAAGAGAACCAUCUGUUAAUGGAUAACAUCCUAUUGGACUUUAUGUGAAUAGAAAAUAAAUG